CUCUUUAAUAGCAGAAAACAGUAUCAGAUCUCAAAAACUCAAAAGCCUUCUCUCCAUUUUCCUCUGACCCCAUUUUUCUCCGCUCUCUCUCUCUCUUCUUCAUUGCUCCAGAAAAUGCAAAAACCUUCUCCCUUCCAUUUAGUUUCUUUUUCGCAUUUCCCUCGGAUCCCAUGUAUGGUGGAGCAACACAGGCAUGUCUGAUUCCUCUAUAAUAGUGCUCUGGUCCGCAACACCGAGACUCAAACGAACAGAUCUAAAACAGUUCGUCCAAAAAUCCUCCCUUUGCAGUUUCUCACAGAUUGAUGCAUCCGUAGCCUUCCAUAACCCAACAACGCGCACCUCCGUGAGUACCCCGCCGUGGUGGAAAAUCGGAAAAACGGAAACCCAAAGUGGGAAGAGCCCUAAUGGUUUCAAAUCCGAGACAACCACACAAGAACACCCCCGGAGUCAGCAGCUCAGCUCAACCAAGGAUCUGCAAAUGUUGAGCGUACAACCGAGAGACAACAACCGUGAGCUUCCGGUCUAGUGGUUCCUGAAGGCAGCAUAAAUGAAGAAUGUCUCGGCUCUGCAAAUAAAUAAGGUAUACCAUAUGAACAAGAACCGUUAGAGGACAUAAUGAAGAACCAUCCCAGACUUUAAUAAUGACAUACUAUUCAACUCCAAUGCAAGAGUAAUAAAUCUGGUGAAAAAUAGUCUGGUUGCUAACUCAUGAAUCUGGGGUAUACAGAUCAAUGAUAGAGCCAAGGAAACAGAAGGGUGGACAAAUAUCAGCUGCAUUAAACAAACAGCACAAGCUUCCAAGAGCCCAGAUCGGUGAAUCUGGGAGGUAAAAUUUCCUAUCCUUGCAAGUGGAAUUGUUGUAGAUCUAGUAAUAAUAGCUGUACUCAGUUCUGUGGUGUAUGGAUCUGUGAUUUAAUUGUGCUUCCUCCAUGCAUCGCAAAACUGAGCUGCAGAAAAUUAAUUGCUCUAAAUUCUGUUUUUGUGCUGGAUCUGCAACAAUCUCCCCCAAACUUGCAUCUGUGAAUGAUUUUUUAUGUUGACUGCUUUAAAUUUCCAGCAUAGUGUAGAUGUGGUUGAUGUGAACGUUAGACUUGCUGUUGG